rnacentral:rRNA from 1 species
AACGAACGCUGGCGGCAGGCCUAACACAUGCAAGUCGAGCGAGACCUUCGGGUCUAGCGGCGGACGGGUGAGUAACGCGUGGGAACGUGCCCUUUUCUACGGAAUAGCCUCGGGAAACUGAGCGUAAUACCGUAUACGCCCUUUGGGGGAAAGAUUUAUCGGAGUAGGAUCGGCCCGCGUUGGAUUAGGUAGUUGGUUGGGUAAUGGCCUACCAAGCCUACGAUCCAUAGCUGGUUUGAGAGGAUGAUCAGCCACACUGGGACUGAGACACGGCCCAGACUCCUACGGGAAGCAGCAGUGGGGAAUCUUAGACAAUGGGGGCAACCCUGAUCUAGCCAGGCCGCGUGAGUGAUGAAGGCCUUAGGGUUGUAAAGCUCUUUCAGCUGGGAAGAUAAUGACGGUACCAGCAGAAGAAGCCCCGGCUAACUCCGUG